rnacentral:piRNA from 7 species
UAACCGAAAGGUUGGUGGUUCGAGCC